rnacentral:piRNA from 1 species
UUAGCCUGAGGUGGCACCAGGAAGAGA